GAGUGGCUUACCUGCAAGUCGAGCGGGGAAAGGUAGCUUGCUACCUGACCUAGCGGCGGACGGGUGAGUAAUGCUUAGGAAUCUGCCUAUUAGUGGGGGACAACAUUCCGAAAGGAAUGCUAAUACCGCAUACGCCCUACGGGGGAAAGCAGGGGAUCUUCGGACCUUGCGCUAAUAGAUGAGCCUAAGUCAGAUUAGCUAGUUGGUGGGGUAAAGGCCUACCAAGGCGACGAUCUGUAGCGGGUCUGAGAGGAUGAUCCGCCACACUGGGACUGAGACACGGCCCAGACUCCUACGGGAGGCAGCAGUGGGGAAUAUUGGACAAUGGGCGAAAGCCUGAUCCAGCCAUGCCGCGUGUGUGAAGAAGGCCUUUUGGUUGUAAAGCACUUUAAGCGAGGAGGAGGCUACUUAGAUUAAUACUCUAGGAUAGUGGACGUUACUCGCAGAAUAAGCACCGGCUAACUCUGUGCCAGCAGCCGCGGUAAUACAGAGGGUGCGAGCGUUAAUCGGAUUUACUGGGCGUAAAGCGUGCGUAGGCGGCUUUUUAAGUCGGAUGUGAAAUCCCUGAGCUUAACUUAGGAAUUGCAUUCGAUACUGGGAAGCUAGAGUAUGGGAGAGGAUGGUAGAAUUCCAGUGUAGCGGUGAAAUGCGUAGAGAUCUGGAGGAAUACCGAUGGCGAAGGCAGCCAUCUGGCCUAAUACUGACGCUGAGGUACGAAAGCAUGGGGAGCAACAGGAUUAGAUACCCUGGUAGUCCAUGCCGUAAACGAUGUCUACUAGCCGUUGGGGCCUUUGAGGCUUUAGUGGCGCAGCUAACGCGAUAAGUAGACCGCCUGGGGAGUACGGUCGCAAGACUAAAACUCAAAUGAAUUGACGGGGGCCCGCACAAGCGGUGGAGCAUGUGGUUUAAUUGGAUGCAACGCGAAGAACCUUACCUGGUCUUGACAUAGUAAGAACUUUCCAGAGAUGGAUUGGUGCCUUCGGGAACUUACAUACAGGUGUUUGCUAUGGCUUUUUCAGCUCGUGUCGUGAGAUGUUGGGUUAAGUCCCGCAACGAGCGCAACCCUUUUCCUUAUUUGCCAGCGGGUUAAGCCGGGAACUUUAAGGAUACUGCCAGUGACAAACUGGAGGAAGGCGGGGACGACGUCAAGUCAUCAUGGCCCUUACGACCAGGGCUACACACGUGCUACAAUGGUCGGUACAAAGGGUUGCUACCUAGCGAUAGGAUGCUAAUCUCAAAAAGCCGAUCGUAGUCCGGAUUGGAGUCUGCAACUCGACUCCAUGAAGUCGGAAUCGCUAGUAAUCGCGGAUCAGAAUGCCGCGGUGAAUACGUUCCCGGGCCUUGUACACACCGCCCGUCACACCAUGGGAAUUUGUUGCACCAGAAGUAGGUAGUCUAACCGCAAGGAGGACGCUUUACUCU
rnacentral:rRNA from 1 species